CCAGAGAGUAGCGAGUCAGUGGCAAAAGUGGGUUUACACCCUCUGGUUCGUUACACUCCCUACUUCUACAUCUCUAUAAAAGAGUGAGUCCUUCACCUGGAUGGCUCAUACUUCCAGUGCUCAGCAGAUAUGGCACCGGUGACCGGCUCUCUCAUUCUUCUAAUGUUGUGCUGUGCAGGAGCCUUAGAAGACUACUAUGACGAACCAACACCAUCACCACCAGAGAAACCUGGAAAAUGUUCCCUAGAUCCAUUAAUAAACUGUGCUCUUACAAUUAUUGCUGAGAAGUGCAAAUCGGACUAUGACUGUUAUGGAAAACAAAAGUGUUGCAGGACUCUGUGCACCAGACUAUGCAUACAUCCCAUCAAGGGUAAGUUCAUUAGAAAGCAAACCCAACAAGUAGAUGGAGCUCAUUAUUAGACAGGAUUUGGCCCCUGGUGAAGGAAUCUGACAGCUGUAUGGUUACAUGACCAGCUCCACCUGAUCUGCCAAAAUCUGCUUUACCACAAACACAUCUCAGAGAGACGCCCGGAACAUGCCCACCAGUACCUCUAACCGUGUGCUCAUCCGAGAUGCCACCUGGAAUAUGUGAAGUGGACAGUGAUUGUCCAGGAAAACAGAAAUGCUGCGUCAUUUGUAGCUCACAGUGCAUGGAUGUGGAAUAAGUGAUGUGAGGCGGCCGGAUGCAUCUCCGUCCCUCACAGCGGAGGACACAUCGCCGAUCAGCCUCAGUAAUUCUCUCUUCUCGCGGCUUUUCCUUCUCUAGUUGCAGAUAAACCUGGGAGGUGACAGCGGUGAAGACACUCAGGGCCGGAUCCGCUGCCCCAGGUGCUCAGUCUGAAUACACCCCCAUUAUAGCCAGAUUCCUCCUCCUUCUCAGCGAUCAUAGUGACAUUUAUCAAUGUAAUAAAGCAGAAGAUGAAAAAUGA